rnacentral:rRNA from 1 species
UACGUAGGGUCCGAGCGUUGUCCGGAAUUAUUGGGCGUAAAGAGCUCGUAGGCGGUUUGUCGCGUCUGCUGUGAAAAUCCGGGGCUCAACCCCGGACUUGCGGUGGGUACGGGCAGACUAGAGUGUGGUAGGGGAGACUGGAAUUCCUGGUGUAGCGGUGAAAUGCGCAGAUAUCGAGGAGGAACACCGAUGGCGAAGGCAGGUCUGCGUGGGCCACUACUGACGCUGAGAAGCGAAAGGCGUG